CGUGAAGCUGGAUUCGCUAGUAAUCGCGCAUCAGCCAUGGCGCGGUGAAUACGUUCCCGGGCCUUGUACACACCGCCCGUCAAGCCAUGGGAGCCGGGGGUGCUUGAAGUGCGUCGCCGCAAGGCGCGUCCUAAGGCAAUACCGGUGACUUGGGGCUAAGUCGUAACAAGGUAUC
rnacentral:rRNA from 1 species